AACGAACGCUGGCGGCGUGCCUAACACAUGCAAGUCGAACGGGAAUAGGGGCUUGCUCCUACUCUAGUGGCGCACGGAGGAGUAACGCGGAGUUAAUCUCCUUGAUGAUCGGGGAUAAUACUUGGAAAAGAGUGCGAAUAACGGAUAAGCCCACGGGUUCUUUGGCAGCUGCGGGUAAUAGGUGCUUAGUCUGCUGUCAUCGGAUGAGCACGCGGCCCAUUAGCUGGUUGGUAGGGGAGUGGCCUAUCAAGGCUACGAUGGGUAGCUGGUCUGAGAGGAUGCUCAGCCACACUGGAACUGAGCAACGGUCCAGACUCCUACGGGAGGGAGCAGUGGGGAAUUUUGCGCAAUGGGCGAAAGCCGGACGCAGCAAUGCCGCGUGAGUGAUGAAGGCCUUCGGGUCGUAAAGCUCUGUCAGAGGGGAAGAAACUCCUGUCGGUUAAUACCCGGCAGGCCUGACGGUACCCUCAAAGGAAGCACCGGCUAACUCCGUGCCAGCCGCCGCUGUAAUAC
rnacentral:rRNA from 1 species